rnacentral:rRNA from 1 species
UACAGAGGUCCCAAGCGUUGUUCGGAUUUACUGGGCGUAAAGGGUGCGUAGGCCGUUGGGUAAGUCAUCCGCGAAAGCUUCAAGCUCAACUUGAAAACUGCAGAUGAUACUGCCUGACUAGAGGAUUGAAUGGGGGGUUGGAAUUCAUGGAGUAGCAGUGAAAUGCGUAGAGAUCAUGAGGAACACCAAAGGCGAAGGCAGACCCCUGGGAAAUUCCUGACGCUGAUGCACGAAGGCCAAGGUAGCGAACGGG